AGCAGCCGCGGUAAUUCCAGCUCCAAUAGCGUAUAUUAAAGUUGUUGCAGUUAAAAAGCUCGUAGUUGAAUUUCGGGGUUAGUAGGUUGGUCAUGCCUCUGGUAUGUACUGGUCUCACUGAUUCCUCCUUCCGGAUGAGCCGUAAUGCCAUUAAUUUGGUGUUGCGGGGAAUUUGGACUGUUACUUUGAAAAAAUUAGAGUGUUUAAAGCAAGCUAACGCUUGAAUACAUUAGCAUGGAAUAAUGAAAUAGGACGUUCGAUCCUAUUUUGUUGGUUUCUAGGAUUGACGUAAUGAUUAAUAGGGAUAGUUGGGGGCAUUAGUAUUCAAUUGUCAGAGGUGAAAUUCUUGGAUUUAUUGAAGACUAACUACUGCGAAAGCAUUUGCCAAGGAUGUUUUCAUUAAUCAAGAACGAAAGUUAGGGGAUCGAAGACGAUCAGAUACCGUCGUAGUCUUAACCAUAAACUAUGCCGACUAGGGAUCGGAUGAUGUUAAUUUUUUAAUGACUCA
rnacentral:rRNA from 1 species